AAAAUUCAUAGCUCACUUGUUACUUGGAAUUUUUAGACAAAAUCAAUGGGUCUAGAUAACCACAUAGGUUAGCUACUGAAUAAAUUUGGAAUCGUGUCAAUCCAAUGUCGGUAGAAUUUUAUAUGUCACUUAAGGUAAACUACACUGGCUAGUGUUGUUAUUUUUCAACUUCUGCCUUGACUUCAAAAAUUCAUAACUCGAACGCUACUUGGAAUUUCUGGAUGAAACCAAUUGGAUUUGAUAGUCUCAUUGUUUAGCU
rnacentral:lncRNA from 1 species